UGACUACCCACUAACGUGGGAUAUGUCACCCCUCUCAGCAUGGUAUUGUUUUUUAAAAAGCAGAAUUUCUUAUAGGAAUCUUAUCGAUCACACAGUAGUUAUAAGAAUGUCAGAUAUAGUGACAUACAAUCUAAACAAGACAGGCCGAUUAAGAAUGUACAUAAUGUAAAAAUAUACAUAUUAAAAGUUAGCCAUGUAGACAGACGCAUGCAGCAGUAGGGGUAGGUGAUAGGAGGUUGGGGGGUGGGAGCCCAUAUGCAGUAAUAUUGCCUAAUCCCAACAUUAUAGUAAAUAAUUUCCACUAACUGAUACAAGUAUUCCAUACACAUCUAAAUACACAAAGGCAAAUCAUGACCUGCUACAUAUAGUCUAAAGUGGUCUGUGAUCUUUUUGUGAUAUUUCCAUGAAAAUAGUUAAUAGUCAUGCAGGUAGUAGGAAGUAUUGGUUAUUCUGGUUGGACUUGGGAAAUGUUUAACUUUUUGACAUUAAUAUCUGUGAAGAGAAUAUAUCUCCUUUUACUGCUUUCUUCACAAUUGACAUGCGCUUAGAGUGGGGGAAUUUCAAUGGUGGUUUGACCUAACAGUGAUGACUGAAAUACUCUUUAAAAAAUGUGGUAACUUUUUAACAACAUAUUUUAGUCACACACUUAACAUGAAACAUGGAUCAUCUGCAGGAUUCUGUAGUUUCUACCACUGUCCUAAAGAAUGAAACUGAUACAAGUGCUUGUUUCUUUACCAAAGCAGGCACUAUUUUGAGCUCUGUGAUCAGAGCAUAUCCAAAACAGAAGAAAUGUCACUUUUUUCCUCUGGGCCUUUUGAGAAACUUGACCAAAAUAAAUUAUUCAAGGUUCCCCCUGAGCAGUGGUGUCAUCAUGUAUGUUACUGUCUG